rnacentral:snoRNA from 1 species
UGAGAUGAUUAGAACACGAGUUUCAAUCAUGCACCACGCAUAAGCCUUCCGGUGAACCUUUGGGUUGGCUUUCGGGUCGACCUUUGGGCUAGCCUUCGGGCUCUUUGAUGAGAACCAACCACUUCUUUAUGAUUCCU